AUACGGAGGAUCCGAGCGUUAUCCGGAUUUAUUGGGUUUAAAGGGAGCGCAGGCGGCACUUUAAGUCAGCGGUUAAAUCGUGGGGCUCAACAUCAUUCUGCCGUUGAUACUGGGUGGCUUGAUUGCGGUCGAGGUUGGCGGAAUUCGUUGUGUAGCGGUGAAAUGCAUAGAUAUGACGAAGAACACCGAUUGCGUAGGCAGCUGACCAGAUCGCAAAUGACGCUCAUGCACGAAAGUGCGGGGAUCGAACAGGAUUAGAUACCCUGGUAGUCCGCACAGUAAACGAUGAAUACUUGUUUUCGGCGAUAUAAUGUCGGAGGCAAAGCGAAAGCGAUAAGUAUUCCACCUGGGGAGUACGCCGGCAACGGUGAAACUCAAAUGAAUUGACGGGG
rnacentral:rRNA from 1 species